GCUAACAACGGGGGAGCAGGGGGGGUAAGAUGGAGGAGGCAAGGGUGGGCCGGAGUUAGUGGGCGUAAAGAGGGCGUGGGGGGUUCGUUAAGUCUGAUGUUAAAGAUGGGGGCCCAACCCGGAGAGGGCAUUGGAUACUGGCGAACGGGAGGGCAGUAGAGGCGAGGGGAAUUCCCAGGGUAGCGGUGAAAUGCGUAGAUAUUGGGAAGAACACCGGUGGCGUAGGCGACUCGCUGGGCUGUAACUGACGCUGAGGAACGAAAGCCAGGGGAGCGAAUGGGAUUAGAUACCCGAGUAGUC
rnacentral:rRNA from 1 species